rnacentral:lncRNA from 1 species
CAAGGUGGAAACCUAAUACGAGUCUUCAGUCAUAGUAUACAUGUUAAAGAUCAUGAUAAAUAGGAGACAACAUUUACUAUGCUGACAAAUUAUAGGAAGAGAGAAAUAUUUUUCUACAUUAAUUUUUGACGUCUACUGUUCAUCAAACAUUUAAUUUCUAAAGAAUUAUUGUGCAGUGACUAAAAUAACUUACUUCUAAAAGGAAAAGGUGCAGUGAACACAAAUUAAGUGGGGUGAGCGAAAAUAUUUAGCAAUCGGGUCAAGGGGGAUUUAUUGGUACAAAUUUUAAAUCAAAUUUACUAGUAUUUUGGAGGAAAAAAACCUAACUAAUUUCUAAAAUUUUCUCUAUUGUUGUGAAAGAGGCAUGUUCUGAGUUUUUGUUGGAUCAUAAUAAUUCUCAGAAACAUUUAUAUAUGGAUCUGGACUUCUGAUUCUAAGUACUGCCCAGACAUUCUAUUGAUUUUUGUUCUUACGACUGUUCAUCACACGUCUCAAUGACUGUACCAAUAUCAUUCCCCGUUGCUUUAAAGGUCCAAUUGUCGUAUUACUUAAGAUAUAUCUUUACUUCCACUUAAACAGCAACACUGAACAAUGUUACCAAAAUUACACCCAUAAGGAUCUGCAAUACAAACAAUCAAUUAUACAUUUUAAAUACAAUGAAAUACAUUUAAGACAAACAAGAAUGAUGUAUAUAUGUUCAUACAAAAGCUUGAAAAGCUAUUAAUAUGCAAUCACCAUUAUUAUCAAUUCCAGCGACCUCCUAAUAGAAGACCACUGAGAGAACAAAGAGGUGCUUUAAUAGAUUUCUGAUGUGAGGUCCUUCCUUGGUCGAUCAUUAUGAAAUAAUAAUAUAAAUAAUGAGCAACGUUGUACUUCUUCUGAUUGGUUUUUAAGUUUCCUGCUAUUAGUGGAGUGGCGUUUGUAUGUGUGCGAUCUACAAGUAUACAGUGACGUUUGACAACCAGAGACGAUGAAAUAAACAAGUUUUAUUCGGCUUUUUGUGUGUACUAGCUCUUCUGCAAUUUGAAUUAAGAUGUUAUUUGACCUAGUGCUGCCCUAGAUUCUUUAUUGAAUAUAAUAUAUUAUAUCAUCUUUAAUCACUUUCAUUGUCAGAAUCUACAUUAUUUGUUUGGUGGGUAUUAGAGUGGCCACUUUAAGCGAAACUAUAUUUCGAAUCAUUAUUCAAUAUCAAUAUGAACUGUUAAAAAUCACGCUGAAUCAAAAAUACUAGUACCCAAAAUGUUUAUUAAUAUUCACGAAACAAUUAAUUUUCAUUGCGUGGUGGCAAAAGCAACCUUCCUCCUAUGUUGUAAAACUAGAGGCACCAUAUUUUUUUGUUAACUGCAUUUUAC